rnacentral:rRNA from 1 species
GACGAACGCUGGCGGCGUGCUUAACACAUGCAAGUCGAACGGAAAGGCCCUGCUUUUGUGGGGUGCUCGAGUGGCGAACGGGUGAGUAACACGUGAGUAACCUGCCCUUGACUUUGGGAUAACUUCAGGAAACUGGGGCUAAUACCGGAUAGGAGCUCCUGCUGCAUGGUGGGGGUUGGAAAGUUUCGGCGGUUGGGGAUGGACUCGCGGCUUAUCAGCUUGUUGGUGGGGUAGUGGCUUACCAAGGCUUUGACGGGUAGCCGGCCUGAGAGGGUGACCGGCCACAUUGGGCCUGAGAUACGGCCCAGACUCCUACGGGAGGCAGCAGUGGGGAAUAUUGCACAAUGGGCGGAAGCCUGAUGCAGCAACGCCGCGUGCGGGAUGACGGCCUUCGGGUUGUAAACCGCCUUCGCCUGUGACGAAGCGUGAGUGACGGUAAUGGGUAAAGAAGCACCGGCUAACUACGUG